rnacentral:lncRNA from 12 species
AUUCGGACCUCUCCCGGGCGCCGGCGGCGGGGUCCCGGGGCUGCCGCCGUUCGCGCCCCGUGCGCCCCGGGCACCGGCCGCCGAACUUCUUCCCGGGACGGAGACCGCGCUCGCGCCCUGGGCCGAGGUGGGAGCCCGCGGGGCUGCGUAGGGCGAGGGCGAAUGGCUCCCGGCGGCGGCGGUGGCGGUGGCCGCGGCCGCGGCGGCGGGGAGGGAGGUCCGGAGAGGUCAGCUGCACGGCGGGCAGCACCCCCCCGCCCCCCAGGACCCAGCGGCACCCGGUGGGCGCGGGGGUAGGCGCCCUGCCUUGGGCCGAGGUCCUCCGCUCCAGUUUUCAAGGCCCUGGCGGGACCCUGUGCCCCAGAAGCUGCCUCUGGACCUGUAGCUCCGGCAGGUCAAGACCCAGAGUGGAAGGUGGGGGGCACUUGGAUGCAGCCCCCCCCACCUCUCUCUCAGCCUGGCGAUUUCUCUACUGUCUGGAGCAGGGAUGUUGGGGCUGCGCAGCCCAGGAACUCCCUGCCUGGAGGAGAGCCAGCCUGGUCCCAGCUCCUCUCCCCCUCCGGGGUAGGGGUCCUUCAGUUUCAGAAAGUGAAAAAGCCACUUUGGGGCUGGGAGAGCCUUUUCUGCUGCCUGGGACCUGGUGGCGGUGCUGGUGGAUGUGCGGAAGAAGUGGUUCAGGGGACUGUCACUGCUCUGGGGACUCUGCUUGAUUCCUGGGCGGACAGGCUACACUCCAUACCUGAGGGUUCCAGAACACUGGACAGGGUGCUCAGGCCCAUCUGGCUCCCACAGCCCCCUGUGCAGCCACCUGUUCCCGGCACCCAGGAGAAGCCAAUAAACCUUUGUGAAACGAGUGAGUGGUGUGGUGUGGACUUACUGGAAACUUGUUUCUGGAGAAUUUCAAGGUAUUUCGUUCUGCCCUUUUGCCUACUGGCAGCAGUGAGCAAGGUAGGGCAUGUGGGCAGUCAGCGCCCAGUGCGGCCUUACGGGACCUGCGGCGGAGAGCACGGUCCCUGGGAAGUCCCCGUGGGCGUGGGGUCUAAGGCGUCCUCCAUCCCCCGGCCACUGGGCCAAUCCGUUUCCCUUGCUGGGAUGAGCAGGCCUCCCACGGGUACCUGGGCCUCCCAUCACUGGGCUCACACAUGUCAUGUGCUUCAAGAAUGA